UACGGUGGGUGCGAGCGUUGUCCGGAAUCACUGGGCGUAAAGGGCGCGUAGGCGGCUUCUUAAGCGUGUGGUGAAAGCUCAGGGCUCAACUCUGAGUCGGCCAUGCGAACUGGGAGGCUUGAGCACUGUAGAGGCAGGUGGAAUUCCGGGUGUAGCGGUGGAAUGCGUAGAGAUCCGGAAGAACACCGGUGGCGAAGGCGGUCUGCUGGGCAGUUGCUGACACUGAGGCGCGACAGCGUGGGGAGCAAACAG
rnacentral:rRNA from 1 species